UAACUGUCAAUCACGGAGCUGUGGAUGGGAGAGACAGCAAGGGGGCAGCAGUGUGUUGUGAAUUAGAGGUCCUAAAGAACUGAGUGGACUGCACGGCAUUCCCACAGCCCUGCCCACAGGGCACAGACAGCCCCGCCCACAGUGCACAGACAGCUCCGCCCACAGUGUAUCCACAGUGUUUCUACCUAAGGGGCGUGGUUAGGGACUGAAGACUAUAUGAUAAUGAAAACUCCCUGGAAGCGUUUGCCAGCCUGCGGAGUAUUUUGCAUCUG
rnacentral:lncRNA from 1 species